GCCCGCGGCUACGGGGCUGGCGCUGCCGGAGCCGGGCCGGACCGGGGUCCGAGAUCUGCGUCGCGCUGGGCACGCUGGCCACCCGGUCCGGAAUGAGUCGGGGCUCCGGGAGGUGCCCGUGGGCAGAGCGUUAGGGGCGCGGCCGUGCCGGACCCGCCCUGGGGACCCGCUGGAGCUGGAGGAGGAACUAACUAGCCAGCUUCCGUUCCUCAGCCUUUCUUCUCUAAACACCAAGUUCCACCAUUGACAGAACACUGAGUCCUGCACAGUCACAUGGACACGAGUAAGGAGAGUUCAGAGGCUGCAGUGGAGUUCCACACGAAGCACAGGAGGUGAAACCCCUUUUUCCUGGCUCCUCAGGAGACAUGUGAAGACAACGCGAUUAGAGGUCCUUCAGGCACGGAUAGGAUGGCUUGGCAUCUUCUUCCGAGCAAGCGCAGCUCUCAGGCCGGGCCUGAGCCUGCAGCCUGUGUGCCCUCCAUCAUCAGGGCCCCCUCUCAGGACAGGCUACACCGAGGGUGGGACGGCGGACUUCCAGGGACACUUCCAAGUCGUGCCCAUGCAGAUACCUCAGUAUACACUGCCCACAGUUAAGAAACCACGACCUGAGACAUUGUUUUGAAGAGGUGAAAAUGCCUCCACUCAAGUGGCCCAGGAGCGUGAUCCAGGAAGACGAACACACAGAACCAUCUUCUGCAUGGUUUGAAAAUUCAGUGGAAACUAGGACUCCAAGCUGCUGUCCCCUCUCUGCCGCAUCUGAGGCUGGGAAAACUUCCUAGGAGAAGGCAAGAGAAAGCCACCAGACCAGAGCCGAGGACUAAACUUUAAGGUCGAAGACGGCAGAGGGGCAGGUUCUCCCCUGCACACCCCAAGGCCUCUCCUGCACCCGCGAGGCCUUCCUUGAGCGCCCAGGCCCCCGAAAUGCCUGCCCUCCUUCUGACAAAAGGAGGGGGUAGGAUGUGAAGGGGUAGUGCAACCAACAAUGUUUUUGUAAACACAACAACAGGGAAAUACAUGGAGGAAAUCUAUUUAUUGGGUGUGUCAUUUUUGGUGGGGGGCGGGAUUGAAAGUGGCGCCAUCUAGACCCAGGAAAAAGCUACGGGGUGGGCGGGGUAAGCGGGGGACUCUUGGUAAAUGUGGAUAAUUUUGAACUGGGACACCAUUUUGUUUCCUUCCUAGAGCAUUGUAUGAUGUGGCCUGAAGGCUCUGGAAAGUCACAGAUCACACCCAGCAGGAGGUUCUUCAUGUGUGCCAGCCCCUGGCUGGGCCUGGGCAGCCUUGCCCCCAUCCUCUGGCCCCAGCUCCUGCCACCCCACCUGCAGACAAGGCUGCCAAAGGCUAGGGACAGGGCUCCAAGCUAGAGGCCGGCUUUUUGGAGAUGUGGCUGUGGGAGGGGAAUCCCAGGAAGUUGCAUAGAGAGGGAGUUUUUGCCAGCCUGGGUCACUGAUGGCCAGUCCGGGUCACUGAUGUCUCCCCAGGGGCAAGGGGACAGUGCCUGGCUAAUUGUGGGUUUCAAAAUCUGUCUGUUGAGGGGAUGCAGAGGUCAUCAUUGGGGGGUGAAGCUGAUGGUCCACAGAAGCUCUGGGCACAGGUUGGACCUCUUUCCUGCACAAAGAACCCUCCAGGGUGCCCAGUGGUUCUGGCCAGCGCCGGAGCCAGUGACGGUUGGCUUGUUCUGGCCUUCCUCCCCUUCUCACACAUGCAUUCUCUUGCACACGUGUCACACACAUUCCUACACACUCACACAAAUUCUCACACAAAUUCCCAGAAUCAAUCUCCCACAUACACAUCCAAGUCACACACUCAUUCUUACAUGCGAUUCACAGAUUCACACGAUUCACAGAUGCAACAGACUCACAGGCAUUCACUCUUACAUAUGACACAGUUGCACACUUGCACACACACACACACACACACACGCACUGCAAUCCCCUUGCAUCUCCACAGUGUCGAAGGCUGGCUGAACACCAAGGUGGCUCUUGGUGGCAGGACUUCUCAUGGGAGGGAAAGUCACAUAGCUGGAAGGUUACUAGCUUAGGGACAUAAUUUCCUUAUUGACUAUAAUCUCCUUAUAGAAAUUCAACAACUAUAGCAGAAAAUGGAGAAUGAGGACAUUUUAUUUCUCAAAGUCAACAGUUCCUUUUCUCCUGCACCUUCGGAGCAGGCUCCUGCCUGAGGCUGCUGAGGUGCUCUGGGUUCUCGCUGUUUGUUUUCAGCAUCCAGGUUCAGGCUUUUCUCAGUGCAUUUUCCUCGGCUGCCCUUGGACUUGUGUUGUCCGGGGUGGUGGCCACUGGCCCCCAGUGGCUACUGAGCAGGGAGAGCAGGGCCCCUCUGUGGUGAGGCGUGCUGCUCAGUGUAAAACACACACGAGAUUUUCCAGAUGCAGUACUCAAAAGCAUGUGAAACUCCUCAGUCAUCACUUAAAAUAUUGAUCACAGGUUGAAAUGAUUAUAUUUUAGAUACCUUAGGUUAAGUAAAAUAUAUUAUUGAAAUUUCACCUUCUUUUUGCUUUCUAAAAAUGUAGCUCUUAGGAACUUUGCAAUUACCUACAUGGCUAUUUGUGUGUUAUCUUCCUGCUGGGCAGUGUGAGACCUUCUCACAGAUCCUUCAGAAAUGUCAAAGGAAAAGCAAAAAUGGUGGAGAAGGCUGAGCACGUGGCCUCGCGGGAGGCCGGCUCAGAGCUGUUCUGAAGUUGCUUUUGUAACACAAUCUAUUCUCAAAGCUCCUUUUCUUUCAAUGGGGCAGGUUGGGGGUGGGGGGGGGGGGGAUAUUACACCUUGUAUUUUACUUCUCGAUUCAUUUUCUUUCCAUUUUAACUUUAAUUCCGUCUAAUUACUGUAUUGUGAGCUCAGUCAGCAAUCUUGCAUGAACUCUGCAGUAACUUCUGAAGACUCUUGCUCCAAGUGUUUGAUAAUGAGGAGAUGUGCAGGACUAAGGCGACUGUGUGAUGUCUGCACAGUUCGAAAGCCCGCUUUCCUGUUACUUUCAAAUCUCGGGUCAGCAUUUUGGAACUUUUCUGCUUUAAUUUUUCCACACACACCUCUCACUGCGACCACCUACCAUCACCACAACCCAAAACAAAGCAAACAAACAGAAAGCUUGAACAAGAAUUUACAUCUGGGAAAACGCUUCUACUCAUCAAGAGUGGAAUUCCUUUUUAUUCCUAUAAUUGACUCACAGCUUCAAAAAUCUGUGAAGUCAUACUUUGGUCACGGAAGUUGCAAGAAACCAUAUUUGCAAACGUUUUAUUUUAAAGAAGGUAUUUAAAAAUAUUUCACAUAUUAGCCACAGAUUUCUAGAAGUGAAGUUAUAAAAAUUAGAAAUUAUAUUUUGCCUUUUGAUGAUAGCAAGUGAAAAGAGAUUGCUCCAAGCAUGUUUUCAAUAAAUUCAGUAUAACUGCAACACAAAAAUUCUGCAUGCAGGCUUCAUACACACACGUUAUAAUUUUAUGCAUUUAUCUUGAGAGUUGUAUAAUUAAUUUUAAAAAUGCAACAGAAAUGUGAAGUUAAGUCUACUUUGCCAAUAAUGGAAAUGUCUCAUAGAUAAUUUUGAAUACAAUUAAAAUUUUGUUUUUAUCAUAAAAGGAACUGUCCUGUUGCUCAUUAUUAGUAUGUUGUC
rnacentral:lncRNA from 1 species